UACGUAGGGGGCGAGCGUUGUCCGGAAUCAUUGGGCGUAAAGCGCGUGUAGGCGGCCCGGUAAGUCCGCUGUGAAAGUCCAGGGCUCAACCCUGGGAUGCCGGUGGAUACUGUCGGGCUCGAGUCCGGAAGAGGCGAGUGGAAUUCCUGGUGUAGCGGUGAAAUGCGCAGAUAUCAGGAGGAACACCGGUGGCGAAGGCGGCGACCUGGGUAGAUACUGACGCUGAGGUGCGAAAGCGUGGGGAGCAAACAGG
rnacentral:rRNA from 1 species